UUGUUGCUCCCGGAACACGACCGUGAACACGUAACAUAAUGCUACCGGGGAGUACCGUCUCCUCGGCCCUGCCGGCUCCGGCCUGUUGGCCGGGUGUCGGAAUACGGCGCGGGAUGUCGCCAAGGAACACUGAAUUGCUGAGGCAGACGACAACACGCUCGUACCGCUGAUGCCAACUUAACAUUACGACUCUCGGCAACGGAUAUCUCGGCUCUCGCAUCGAUGAAGAACGUAGCGAAAUGCGAUACGUGGUGUGAAUUGCAGAAUCCCGUGAACCAUCGAGUUUUUGAACGCAAGUUGCGCCCGAGGGAUCCUCCCGAGGGCACGCCUGCCUGGGCGUAAGAAGCCAAUGAACACUCAGUCGACCCUGCACACGCUGUGUGACAGAGGACCGACCGGAUGUGGACAAUGGACCUCCGAGCCGGCAAUGGCACGGUGGGCUGAAGUUAAUGGUCGUCGUAUGGUAACGGGAUCGGCGAGUGGUGGGCGAACUGCGCAAGCCAAUCCCGGCUGCCGUGUCGACAUACGGCCUCUUUUGAACCCCAAAUUAGGAGAUUGUCGUCGCAGCAUCCAAGUUGUGCGGCAAUUUCGGACCGAUACCCCAGGUCAGGCGGGGCCACCCGCUGAGUUUAAGCAUAUCAAUA
rnacentral:rRNA from 1 species